rnacentral:piRNA from 1 species
GUCAAUUCUGAAGAGCGUUUGAAAGCAGG